rnacentral:misc_RNA from 1 species
UUUAAACAUAUCCUGUUUCUACUGAUGAAAUGAAGAUCUGAUCACUAAAAUAAUCCAAAGGUGAAGUAUUUUCUAAAUUUGGUUAAUAGCUAUAUCUAGCACAGCUAACAAAGGGUAGAUUCAAAUGUUUUCAACUCAUCAAUCCAUCAGCUUUAUAACCAUUUUACAAUAGACUUGUUCUGACUUCAAAUGCAACGCGACGUUAAUAUCUCAGUUGAAACUCUAUGGCUUCUCUUCAUCUGAUUGAGGACCAGUUGGUUCUGGAGAGGCCUCAACAUCAACAAAGAACUCCUCUAUAUCAUCUUGCUCAGGCGAGUCAAGUAGAAUAUCUGAAUCAGACGGCAAAUAUGCAGAACCCGGAUAGUUCACAAGAGGUCCUAGAUCUCCCAAGUUUGACAGAUCUGCUGUUAGAUCUGAAAGACUAAAGUUCCAAGGAAUCUGAGCCAAAGAUCUAAGUGAAUCCCUAGAAUUACCAACACCAUUAUCUGGUGGUAGUUGUAAUCCCACUGAACUUGCUACAUCAGAUGGAAAGGCAGCAUCAAGGGCUGAGGUGUCAACUCCCAUACCCGAAAUCUCUGAAGCGGUAAAGGGAAAAUGGCCGCUGGAAGCUACUGAUGUAGGGCUAACAGCCAUAUCUGACAUAGAUGACAUGGCAUUGCCAGGUGGAACAGCUGCUGCUACAUCUGGCACACUGGUAUCAAUCACCAUCUCGUUUCCUGAAUUCAUCCUCAUCGGAUGAUAGUUUCCUGGUGCAGGCACACCAUUAACCACGUGGCAGCUGGACAUGCCCAUUGGAUCAAGAUGAGGUUGACCUGCAGCUGGAACUGGAGGUUGCUGCAGGACGGGAUAUCCCAUGGGUAAGUUGUUGACUGGCAUGGUACUAAUCCCAUUCUGCAUAGGAGCCAACGGAACUUUUGGAGGCACUGGAUAUUUCAUCAGAUGAUACUGGUGCUCAAGCAAAUGAUUGAACAGGACGAUUUGUUUCUUCAGUUUAAGCCUAAUGUAGUAGGCCCGAAAGAAAUCUGCAUUUUCUUCUUCUAAUUUUUGCCAAACUAGAGUUGUGAAUCCAGGAUCUAUCCUUGCACGAUUCAGAAGUGUUUUUACGACUUCAUCCUUAUUCAUAUACAACUGCAAGCACCUUUCAAUCAAGUUUUGGACAAGUUCAAUAUCUUCACGUGAAACUUUUCUGUUAUCAUUGCCUGAUGCAGAAACAGAACCUGCAUCAGCUACAGGGGUAUCUGCUAUAUGGUUCUGCUGGUCAUUUUGGGCCUCGUGAGAAGCCUGAAUUGAUGGUUUCUUUUCUGUGUUGUUUGGCUGCAGUUUUUUUUCUGCUUUGAUUGGCUUGGUGGUCUUCAUUUUAGCUCAACUCCAAGCACAUUAGAUAUCUCCAUGAAGCUCCAACAUAGCACUGCUAUAAUUAGGCAUAUGGAAAGUUGGAAAACUAAUCACCUUUGCCUUGAAGGUGGCUAUCUGAAUCCAACCCUUUGUCUUACAGUAACAUCUAUUGAACAAAGUGCCAGCAAAAUUUG